CCUCUCUCUGUUGCUAAUGAUGCAACAAGGACCUGAACACAAUCUAACGAUUAGGAUUUAUUAGUUUAUAAAAAAGUGUUUUCAAGAUGUCUUUCAUUUGAGUGGUUGAACGUGGAGGUGUUUCUCUCUCUGCCCUGUGAAUGAAUUGAUGGACUCAAUAAAAAGGGCUGGCUUGACAUUUUUUCUAGAUUUUUCUGUUGUGGAGGAAAUGGGGAUGGUUGAGGAAGGAUGUGUUUUAGUUUGAAGUGACAUACAGGGCAGACCGCUGUAACGGUGUCCCUGGUUUAUUCUGCAUUUACUUUACCUUCUGUUCCAGUUGUACCCCUGUCCCUCAGAACGCUGUGAGGUACCCCUGUCCCUCAGAACGUUGUGAGGUACCCCUGUCCCUCAGACCGCUGUGAGGUACCCCUGUCCCUCAGAACGUUGUGAGGUACCCCUGUCCCUCUGAACGUUGUGAGGUACCCCUGUCCCUCAGACCGCUGUGAGGUACCCCUGUCCCUCAGACCGCUGUGAGGUACCCCUGUCCCUCUGAACGCUGUGAGGUACCCCUGUCCCUCAGACCGCUGUGAGGUACCCCUGUCCCUCAGACCGCUGUGAGGUACCCCUGUCCCUCAGACCGCUGUGAGGUACCCCUGUCCCUCAGACCGCUGUGAGGUACCCCUGUCCCUCAGACCGCUGUGAGGUACCCCUGUCCCUCAGAACGUUGUGAGGUACCCCUGUCCCUCUGAACGUUGUGAGGUACCCCUGUCCCUCAGAACGUUGUGAGGUACCCCUGUCCCUCAGAACGUUGUGAGGUACCCCUGUCCCUCAGAACGUUGUGAGGUACCCCUGUCCCUCAGAACGUUGUGAGGUACCCCUGUCCCUCAGAACGUUGUGAGGUACCCCUGUCCCUCAGAACGUUGUGAGGUACCCCUGUCCCUCAGAACGUUGUGAGGUACCCCUGUCCCUCUGAACGUUGUGAGGUACCCCUGUCCCUCUGAACGCUGUGAGGUACCCCUGUCCCUCAGAACGCUGUGAGGUACCCCUGUCCCUCAGAACGCUGUGAGGUACCCCUGUCCCUCAGAACGCUGUGAGGUACCCCUGUCCCUCAGAACGCUGUGAGGUACCCCUGUCCCUCAGAACGUUGUGAGGUACCCCUGUCCCUCAGAACGUUGUGAGGUACCCCUGUCCCUCAGAACGUUGUGAGGUACCCCUGUCCCUCAGAACGUUGUGAGGUACCCCUGUCCCUCAGAACGUUGUGAGGUACCCCUGUCCCUCAGAACGUUGUGAGGUACCCCUGUCCCUCAGAACGUUGUGAGGUACCCCUGUCCCUCAGAACGUUGUGAGGUACCCCUGUCCCUCAGAACGUUGUGAGGUACCCCUGUCCCUCAGAACGUUGUGAGGUACCCCUGUCCCUCAGAACGCUGUGAGGUACCCCUGUCCCUCAGAACGCUGUGAGGUACCCCUGUCCCUCAGAACGCUGUGAGGUACCCCUGUCCCUCAGAACGCUGUGAGGUACCCCUGUCCCUCAGAACGCUGUGAGGUACCCCUGUCCCUCAGAACGCUGUGAGGUACCCCUGUCCCUCAGAACGCUGUGAGGUACCCCUGUCCCUCAGAACGCUGUGAGGUACCCCUGUCCCUCUGAACGUUGUGAGGUACCCCUGUCCCUCUGAACGUUGUGAGGUACCCCUGUCCCUCUGAAUGUUGUGAGGUACCCCUGUCCCUCUGAAUGUUGUGAGGUACCCCUGUCCCUCUGAACGUUGUGAGGUACCCCUGUCCCUCUGAAUGUUGUGAGGUACCCCUGUCCCUCUGAAUGUUGUGAGGUACCCCUGUCCCUCUGAAUGUUGUGAGGUACCCCUGUCCCUCUGAAUGUUGUGAGGUACCCCUGUCCCUCAGAACGCUGUGAGGUACCCCUGUCCCUCUGAACGCUGUGAGGUACCCCUGUCAGGAUGUCCUGAACGUCAGGACCUAAAUUCCUAGUGUUUCAGUGCUGAUGGAGGAUGUAAUGAAUAAGAAGAGGUCGGACUGCUUCUAGAUCAGAUAUGCUAUGUGAACACAAGCCCUGAACAAGGUUCUCCUCUACCCCCAGUCCCCUCAGAAAGAAUAGGACCUGCCCUGAACAAGGUUCUCCUCUACCCCCAGUCCCCUCAGAAAGAAUAGGACCUGCCCUGAACAAGGUUCUCCUCUACCCCCAGUCCCCUCAGAAAGAAUAGGACCUGCUCUGAACAAGGUUCUCCUCUACCCUCAGAAAGAAUAGGACCUGCCCUGAACAAGGUUCUCCUCUACCCUCAGUCCCCUCAGAAAGAAUAGGACCUGCUCUGAACAAGGUUCUCCUCUACCCUCAGAAAGAAUAGGACCUGCCCUGAACAAGGUUCUCCUCUACCCCCAGUCCCCUCAGAAAGAAUAGGACCUGCUCUGAACAAGGUUCUCCUCUACCCUCAGAAAGAAUAGGACCUGCUCUGAACAAGGUUCUCCUCUACCCUCAGAAAGAAUAGGACCUGCCCUGAACAAGGUUCUCCUCUACCCUCAGAAAGAAUAGGACCUGCUCUGAACAAGGUUCUCCUCUACCCUCAGAAAGAAUAGGACCUGCCCUGAACAAGGUUCUCCUCUACCCUCAGAAAGAAUAGGACCUGCUCUGAACAAGGUUCUCCUCUACCCUCAGAAAGAAUAGGACCUGCCCUGAACAAGGUUCUCCUCUACCCUCAGAAAGAAUAGGACCUGCCCUGAACAAGGUUCUCCUCUACCCUCAGAAAGAAUAGGACCUGCCCUGAACAAGGUUCUCCUCUACCCUCAGAAAGAAUAGGACCUGCUCUGAACAAGGUUCUCCUCUACCCUCAGAAAGAAUAGGACCUGCCCUGAACAAGGUUCUCCUCUACCCUCAGUCCCCUCAGAAAGAAUAGGACCUGGUUUAACAAACAUCUGUUUGUUCUCAGAUUUUUUUAGAUCACAUGACAGGAACUGCAUCUCAGCUGUACUGUCUGUUGGUGGGGGGCGCUUAACAGAAGGUCCCUGGUCAACAUGUGUGCACUAUAUAGGGGGCCAUUUUGUGACCGAGCGAAGUCAUCCACUCUACCCUCAACUGGAGAAAUCUGGAGCAGACUGACUGGAGAAAUGUUUACCCCGGUGUUCGUUACGACACGUCACUUUCAGAAGGACUUUACUAGCGAAUCAAAAUGUAAAUAUUACGUUUUUUAAAAGAAGGAAUGAUAUGUUGGGAUGUAAAUAAAUUAGUUUCAUGGUUUAGUGUUUUUAUUUUGAACUUGAUUUCCUAUUCUGAAAAGAUCUAAUAUUAAAGUUUAGUCUUUAGAUAAAGGGUCUGGUCAUGAUGUAAUAUUAAAGGUUAGUCUUUAGAUAAAGGGUCUGGUCAUGAUGUAAUAUUAAAGGUUAGUCUUUAGAUAAAGGGUCUGGUCAUGAUGUAAUAUUAAAGGUUAGUGUUUAGAUAAAGGGUCUGGUCAUGAUGUAAUAUUAAAGGUUAGUCUUUAGAUAAAGGGUCUGGUCAUGAUGUAAUAUUAAAGGUUAGUCUUUAGAUAAAGGGUCUGGUCAUGAUCUAAUAUUAAAGGUUAGUCUUUAGAUAAAGGGUCUGGUCAUGAUGUCAUAUUAAAGGUUAGUCUUUAGAUAAAGGGUCUGGUCAUGAUGUAAUAUUAAAGGUUAGUCUUUAGAUAAAGGGUCUGGUCAUGAUGUAAUAUUAAAGGUUAGUCUUUAGAUAAAGGGUCUGGUCAUGAUGUAAUAUUAAAGGUUAGUGUUUAGAUAAAGGGUCUGGUCAUGAUGUAAUAUUAAAGGUUAGUCUUUAGAUAAAGGGUCUGGUCAUGAUGUCAUAUUAAAGGUUAGUCUUUAGAUAAAGGGUCUGGUCAUGAUCUAAUAUUAAAGGUUAGUCUUUAGAUAAAGGGUCUGGUCAUGAUGUCAUAUUAAAGGUUAGUCUUUAGAUAAAGGGUCUGGUCAUGAUGUAAUAUUAAAGGUUAGUCUUUAGAUAAAGGGUCUGGUCAUGAUGUAAUAUUAAAGGUUAGUCUUUAGAUAAAGGGUCUGGUCAUGAUGUAAUAUUAAAGGUUAGUCUUUAGAUAAAGGGUCUGGUCAUGAUCUAAUAUUAAAGGUUAGUCUUUAGAUAAAGGGUCUGGUCAUGAUCUAAUAUUAAAGGUUAGUCUUUAGAUAAAGGGUCUGGUCAUGAUCUAAUAUUAAAGGUUAGUCUUUAGAUAAAGGGUCUGGUCAUGAUGUAAUAUUAAAGGUUAGUGUUUAGAUAAAGGGUCUGGUCAUGAUGUAAUAUUAAAGGUUAGUCUUUAGAUAAAGGGUCUGGUCAUGAUGUAAUAUUAAAGGUUAGUCUUUAGAUAAAGGGUCUGGUCAUGUCAUAUUAAAGGUUAGUCUUUAGAUAAAGGGUCUGGUCAUGAUGUAAUAUUAAAGGUUAGUCUUUAGAUAAAGGGUCUGGUCAUGAUCUAAUAUUAAAGGUUAGUCUUUAGAUAAAGGGUCUGGUCAUGAUGUAAUAUUAAAGGUUAGUCUUUAGAUAAAGGGUCUGGUCAUGAUGUCAUAUUAAAGGUUAGUCUUUAGAUAAAGGGUCUGGUCAUGAUGUCAUAUUAAAGGUUAGUCUUUAGAUAAAGGGUCUGGUCAUGAUGUAAUAUUAAAGGUUAGUUUUUAGAUAAAGGGUCUGGUCAUGAUGUAAUAUUAAAGGUUAGUCUUUAGAUAAAGGGUCUGGUCAUGAUGUAAUAUUAAAGGUUAGUCUUUAGAUAAAGGGUCUGGUCAUGAUCUAAUAUUAAAGGUUAGUCUUUAGAUAAAGGGUCUGGUCAUGAUGUAAUAUUAAAGGUUAGUCUUUAGAUAAAGGGUCUGGUCAUGAUGUCAUAUUAAAGGUUAGUCUUUAGAUAAAGGGUCUGGUCAUGAUGUCAUAUUAAAGGUUAGUCUUUAGAUAAAGGGUCUGGUCAUGAUGUAAUAUUAAAGGUUAGUCUUUAGAUAAAGGGUCUGGUCAUGAUCUAAUAUUAAAGGUUAGUCUUUAGAUAAAGGGUCUGGUCAUGAUGUAAUAUUAAAGGUUAGUCUUUAGAUAAAGGGUCAUGAUGUAAUAUUAAAGGUUAGUCUUUAGAUAAAGGGUCUGGUCAUGAUGUAAUAUUAAAGGUUAGUCUUUAGAUAAAGGGUCUGGUCAUGAUGUAAUAUUAAAGGUUAGUCUUUAGAUAAAGGGUCUGGUCAUGAUGUAAUAUUAAAGGUUAGUCUUUAGAUAAAGGGUCAUGAUGUAAUAUUAAAGGUUAGUCUUUAGAUAAAGGGUCUGGUCAUGAUGUAAUAUUAAAGGUUAGUCUUUAGAUAAAGGGUCUGGUCAUGAUGUCAUAUUAAAGGUUAGUCUUUAGAUAAAGGGUCUGGUCAUGAUGUAAUAUUAAAGGUUAGUCUUUAGAUAAAGGGUCUGGUCAUGAUGUCAUAUUAAAGGUUAGUCUUUAGAUAAAGGGUCUGGUCAUGAUGUCAUAUUAAAGGUUAGUCUUUAGAUAAAGGGUCUGGUCAUGAUGUAAUAUUAAAGGUUAGUCUUUAGAUAAAGGGUCUGGUCAUGAUGUAAUAUUAAAGGUUAGUCUUUAGAUAAAGGGUCUGGUCAUGAUGUAAUAUUAAAGGUUAGUCUUUAGAUAAAGGCUCGAGCAGCAUGAUCCAUGUAUGAACGGACUUAAACCAGACAACAGCAUUUUAUACCCAGCUGUUACUGACAAUUCAGCUUAACCAAUGAGAAUGCAAACCUGCCUGUUAAAUACACUGCUCAAAAAAAUAA